rnacentral:rRNA from 1 species
UACAGAGGGGGCGAGCGUUGUUCGGAAUUACUGGGCGUAAAGGGCGCGUAGGCGGCCCGCUAAGUCGAACGUGAAAUCCCCGGGCUCAACCCGGGAACUGCGUCCGAUACUGGUGGGCUUGAAUCCGGGAGAGGGAUGUGGAAUUCCAGGUGUAGCGGUGAAAUGCGUAGAUAUCUGGAGGAACACCGGUGGCGAAGGCGGCAUCCUGGACCGGUAUUGACGCUGAGGCGCGAAAGCUAGGGGAGCAAACGGG